rnacentral:lncRNA from 1 species
ACAUGAGUGAAGAGAAUACAUGUGGUCAGGAUAACUCAGUACUCUGGAACUAUCAAAUUUAUUCUUUCUGAUUCAAGAGCUGUCCAUGAAAAUUUUCCUUGAUGAACAUAAUUUCUUUGUUCAACGGAUACUGCUGUGGUCAAAUUGAUUUGAUCAACAUUGUGUUUGAUUCAGAUCUCACUGGGUGCAAUGUCUCAGCCAAGAUAAUUGAUCUGCUGGGUGACUUCUCUGAUUCUCUGCUUCCAAGUGGUUCUACUCAGGUGAAGGUAGAGAAGCAUUCUGGAAUACUUGCACCUGUGUUUGGCAGUCAGUUCAGCACUGAUGACCAGAAUAGCAAGGACCUAGCUUGGUGGAAUACAUAUGCUUCUGAAAAGAGACAUGAUCCCUACUAAUUACCUCAGAUGCCUAAAACAUUAUAUUAGAUUCAAGGAACAAGAACAGGAAAACAGCUUGGAGAUAUGUCUUUUUCCAGAGUCAUAGGUAAACAAGAUUCUGGGACAUAAUGUGGGAGGGAAUAUAAGAUGUUUUUUUUUUCCCUUUAUGGUAAAAAAUUCUGUGGUCCUCAGGAUAAGAGGGGCUCACUGUCAUCAUUAUCAUCAGUAAAAUAUUAAGGAAUUUCAGAGUCAAAAAUACUGUGCUACUCUUUCCCUCCCUCUCUUCUUCCCUCUCCUUCCUUCGUUCCUUCAUUCCUUUGUUCCUUCCUUCCUUUGUCCCUCCUUCUGUCAUUCUGUCUCUAUGUCUAUUUCUUUCUCUCUAUCUUUCUCUUUCCCUCCCUCCUCUUACCCACCUCACCAUCUGACUAAAAUAAGAACAUUAAGUAUUUCAAU